ACUGACUCCAGAUAAAAAUCUGGCCCCAGAGUAACGGCAGGAUCCUAGAAACUUUUCUCACGGAAUAGUUUUUAUGCCCUUUUCUUGAAUAUUUACGACCCAUCCGCACUGUCCUGCUUAAAUCCACUACACACUGUGCAUCCAUAAAGGAGGAAGAUUGUACCUGUCUACUCUUGAUAGUGCAGAUGAUGGUGAGCUGUCUCCUUACUGAAAACUAAUUCUUCCUAAACUCUGCACCAGUUCUACUCAAACCACCCAGAGGCAGCACCCCAAACUGAUGCUCCUCUUGAUGAAGCUGCAUUUCAAGGGAGGAAAACCAUUCAGAGAUUUGGAUGCUCUCCCAUGACAUCCAGGGUCAUUUAUAAAAUCAUAAAAGCCAGGUUAAGAAACCAACCCAGCAGCAGCAAGGCCAAGCAUGCAGAGAAAGAGCUGAACAGACAUCGAACGGGACAAGUUCAGCCCUCCCAUGGCAUCCUGAGUAAUUCAGCUGAUUAAACAUGAGAAGUUCUGAUUCAUGGAGAGGAGGAGGAAAUGCAUAAACAACUUACCAAAAGCUAAUUUCUUUAUUAUUGCAACCAGAAAUGACCAAAGACGGUGUAUUUUGUAUGACUGCACAUUACAUGUGGAAAAACCCAAAAAUCAGCAUUGCAAUAUCCAACAAUUCAAAAUAAAAUAGAAUAAAAAAAAUCAAACCCAAGAACUUUCUUGACUGGUAAUUAACAGGGACGGAAUAUAAAUGAGAUGGCAUUGAACAAAGCAGGUAACAGUGCACUUUUAAUAAACCAAUUUCAUCCAUAUCUCCACUGAUUUGCAAUUUAACAGUUCUAUCAGCAAAGCCUCAUUUCCCUAACUAGACUGGUACUUUUAAAAACAUGACUAAUUCACUCUCAUUAAUAUCAAUUUGGAUGCAUUUAAAAAAUAACUCUUAAUAUCUGCACAACAGGCUAAAGGACAGUAUUUCUCCAACAUAUGAUGUUCUCACUGCAUUGGUUUAAAAUACAAAUAUCCCCAAAUUAACCAAUGCAAUCUAAAAUUUAUUAGAAAACAAAAGGCAUUAAUUUUUUUUUUAAGAUUUAUUCUUAUUUAGCUCUGAGACCCAUUGCACUACAAUAUCAAACACUUUUAUUGCAGUUUCUCUGCACCUUCCCCAUGCAUUUUCCACGGGGAAUGUGACUGGGAUUCAGUUUACUGGUCUUUUCAAGGGGAUGCACAAAGAGAAGAAUACACCUGCAUCUCUUCUACCUAAAUAGGAUGCUUUUGGCAAACUCACUAACCACUUGUUUAAAAAAACAAAAAACAAAAAACAAAAAAAAGGAGAAAAAGGGGAAAAAAAGUCCAUCCCAGCUACAGAUUAACAUGCUGUAGCUGCCACCAGAAGUGCAGAGCCCCCUGGCCUAAGCUCCCAAUUCAGAAGGCAUUUAAGCACAUGUAUAACCAAGUGUGGGAACAGGCUCCUUGAAGGCAAUAGGAUUACUCACUUCUUAAGAAGUUACCACAUGUUUAAGUAUCUGAAUCGAGGCCUAAUUACGGUGCUGGCCACCUCCUCGUGCACACACAGCUGGGGCAGAGCUCACCAAUCCCUCACAGCCAUGAGGACAGGCGUUUGUCACACGGGCUUUUAGUAGCUGCUAGGUUUGUACUCUUGGGCAAACGACAACAAAAAUCCUCAAGCCCUAAAAAA